GACGAACGCUGGCGGCGUGCUUAACACAUGCGAGUCGAACGGAAAGGCCCUGCGUUUGUGGGGUGCUCGAGUGGCGAACGGGUGAGUAACACGUGAGUAACCUGCCCUUGACUUUGGGAUAACUUCAGGAAACUGGGGCGAAUAUCGGGUAGGAGCUCCUGCUGCAUGGGGGGGGUUGGAAAGUGUCGGCGGUUGGGGAUGGACUCGCGGGUUAUCAGCUGGUUGGUGGGGUAGUGGCUUACCAAGGCUUUGACGGGUAGCCGGCCUGAGAGGGUGACCGGCCACAUUGCGACUGAGAUACGGACCAGACUCCUACGGGAGGCAGCAGUGGGGAAUCUUGCACAAUGGGCGGACGCCUGAUGCAGCAACGCCGCGUGCGGGAUGACGGCCUUCGGGUUGUAAACCGCUUUCGCCUGUGACGAAGCGUGAGUGACGGUAAUGGGUAAAGAAGCACCGGCUAACUACGUG
rnacentral:rRNA from 1 species